UGGGGGAUAUUGCACAAUGGGGGAAACCCUGAUGCAGCGACGCCGCGUGUGGGAAGACGGUCCUCUGGAUUGUAAACCACUGUCCCCAGGGACGAAGAUGACGGUACCUGGGGAGGAAGCUCCGGCUAACUACGUGCCAGCAGCCGCGGUAAUACGUAGGGAGCGAGCGUUGUCCGGAAUUACUGGGUGUAAAGGGAGCGUAGGCGGGGUUGCAAGUUGGGUGUCAAAUCUACCGGCUCAACUGGUAGUCGCACUCAAAACUGCAGCUCUUGAGUGGAGUAGAGGCAGGCGGAAUUCCUAGUGUAGCGGUGAAAUGCGUAGAUAUUAGGAGGAACACCAGUGGCGAAGGCGGCCUGCUGGGCUUUUACUGACGCUGAGGCUCGAAAGUGUGGGGAGCAAACAGGAUUAGAUACC
rnacentral:rRNA from 1 species